rnacentral:rRNA from 1 species
UGUAGACGACUAAUGAAUCAUAGAAUUUUUUAAAAUUCAUGAUGUCGUAAGGGAAAAUAAUGAUAAUACCUUACUAUGAGUGUCGUCCAAAUCUGGUGCCAGAAGACUCGGUAAGACCAGAGACGCAAACGUUAAUCAUCAUAAACAGGCGUAAAGGGUUUGUAGGCAGCUUUCACCAAACUAUGAUUACAAAAUAAAGUAGUUUAAUUGAAAGCUAGAAUCAAAAAGAGGUUAUAGUGUAUAACGCCUAGAGGAGGGCUGAUAUCCAUAGAUCCUAGGCAGAAUACUCAGGGCGAAGGCCACUCUCCACUACUGAUUGACGCUGAGAAACGAAGGUUAGGGUAGGAAAUAGGAUUAGAUACCCCGGUACUCCUUUCUGUAAACGAUGAAUGGUAGUCAUUAGUUUUAUAACUAGAGACGAAGUUAACACAAUAACCAUUCCGCCUUGUGAGUACUACUGCAAAGUAGAAAACAAAAAAAUUAGUCGGUCUCGAAGCAAACGGAGUGAAGCAUGUUAUUUAAUUCGAUAUUCCGCA